GUUAUUUGGUAUGUGAUUUAUCUAUUGUUAUAUAGUGAUGGAAUUCUGUUUCCUUGGAUAGCCCUAUUUACGACCCAGGAACAAAGGAAGAAGCUUCAAAGGUGUAUGGAUAUCAUUCGAGGUACUAUGGAUGAUAAUGAUGAUGAUGAUGAUCAUGAAGAAAAAUGUUGAAUAUACUUGAUAUAAUCCAAGUCACGUGACGAUGAAUAUGAAAGCUUUCAUAUCGACAGUAGGCAUGUUUUAUUAUAAAGUGUACCAGUGGGUAUCUAACAAAUGUAAUGGUUUUAUUAGAAAAAGGAAAAAGAGUUUUUAAAUAUUUUUCUGAUCUUCAAAAUCAGCAUAUAUUUAACAUAUAAAAUACUUAAU